UAACUUGACUUAAUGAACAAUUCAACAAGCUCUUUUGAUUAUUUAAGAGAAUCACUGAAUUAAACCAAAUAAAAUAAUGCAAGAUAAUCACCACAAUAUUCCAGGUGCGACUGUGUAAAAUUUCCAGAGUAAUUUUUUUUCUUCAAUUUUUGAUAUCUACACUCAGCUCUCGACCCCUAAACGUGAUCCGAUUUAAUUUCUUAAACUUUUACUCAGACUUCAAAGCUCCAAAUCAUUCAAUCUAGCUCCAAUUAUCUUUUUAACUCAGAAUCACUUCCUGUAAGGCAAUAAGAUACGUAAUAAGUGUAACUCACACAUGUAAAAUGCAGUAAUUAGAGUGCAAACUAUGACUAAAGCACGAGUUUCUAGCAUACCAUCAUCACUCAUGGCAAGAGAAUCCAGAAAGUAACAGAAGAUGAUGAAAUCACCUUCACGGAGGAAUGUCACACCUCCUUUUUCCUACACCCGAAAAGGGUAUAAGAGAGUUUUUUCCAAUUUAAGUGACAAUCGAAACGGGAUUUAUUUAAGAAUCAGAGUCGCCACUUGGGAUAAUUUAUGGUGUCCCAUGUCACCGAUUUAGAAUCCCGAAUCGAGGAAAGAUUGACUCUGUUUUAUAGUCCGCGAACACAGAAAUCCGGGUAAGGAAUUCUGUUAACCGGGGAGAAAGUGUUAGGCAUUCCCGGGUUCCUUGGUUCUAGCAUGGUCGCUUAACUAUUAUUCUUGGCUUAAUUAUCUGCUUUUAAACACUUUUAAACCUAUGUGCAUUUUUAACUUUAAAACCGCUUUUAAUAAUCCAAUUAUUAUACAACCAGUUAUUUUAAUUAAACGUUGUGAAUCAUGUCACGAGAACCGUACCUACGAUCCACAACAUGUUUAUUUUAUUAACAAGAUUAAAUUGUGGCCGGGUCACAUAAAUGUACCCCCCGGAUUUUUAGAAAUUAGGUGUCACGACCAUGUCAUGGGAACCGUACCCGUCGCUAUGACAAUUUAUUUAAUUAAACGCGCCUAAAACAAACUACGAGAGUUCAAGACAUUUUCUACACUAGUUAAGAUAUCGAUGUGAGGGCCAUAGACUAGGUGAUUGGAUGACACACCUCAAAUUUAUAAAAGAAAAAAAAUUUAACUAAGCAAUCAGAAAAUUUAAAAGCCCUUUCUUUUACAAGAGUACACGGGUGUAUAUCCCAUAACUUAAAAAACCAAACGAUCAAAUAUGAUAAAUAUCACAUGAAGCUAAUUAACAAAUGAAACAUAUCACAUUCUACCAAAAAACAACGAGAUGGUAACUCGGCAAGCAGAAAUUUACAACUACAAAGAUCAAACAAAUCCAUUUGAAAGAAGUCUCAAACAUAUUAAACAUAAACAACAAGAACACCAAGCAAUCACACAGCAAUAAGCAAUAUAUCAAAUAUUAAGCAUGAUAUUAAGAGAAAUCACACAGUGAGCCUUUAGGAAGCAUUGUAUGAACCGGACCUUACAGGAUUUUCACCAAGACAUAAAUCUGGAUCCAAUUUUGGACUGCAAACGGAACCUCGCCAAACUACCUCGAUCUCGACAGUAUCUAGGUCACGAUUUCAAAAGAUAUUGAAUGGACGAUAACUGAAAAGCCAAGCGAAUCUUGAAACCAGAUUCAAGUUCCUCUCGUGCUCACAAAACACCACUGGUUCACUGCUAUCCUUUUCUUGUUUCUGUGCGUGUUUGUGUCUAUAUGUGUGGGUGUUUUCCGGAAAGCUAUGGUACGGAGAAGGAGGAGAAACAAUGGAUGUUAGAGAAUGGUCGAGAUCCGGUCGGCUGCUUAAGGUCGUUCGCGUUUUUCCGGUGAGCUGGUGAGAUCGAGUGAAAAGGAAAGGUCAUUGCUGUUGUUGAGUGCUGGCGUGAGGAGGAGGACAGGUAGAGGUUGUUUUGGUUGGUAAAGGUUUAGAGUCGCUGGUUAUUGUGUUCGACGUGAGGGGUAGUCAUUUUCCGGUGAUGGUAAGCUGAAGGGUGGUCGUCGAUGGAGCUGGUGGACGUUGGUUACUGGUUUUUGGCUGGUCGUUGGGAUGAUUGGAAAUGGGCUGGUUGUUGUGAUGUUCAGGGGUGUGGUUAAUAAGAAGCCAUUUAAAUGGCUCUUCUCUGAAGAAGGAUCUCCAUCGAUGAGGAGGGGUAUGUGAAGGAGGCGAAGCUUCAGGGGGGAAGGGCGGGUUCUUUUCUAAAAAUCAGCAGCUCCUCAUUCUUAGGAGUCUAGGUCUGAUUUUUUUUCUCUUUUCAGCUCCUCCUCUUAGCUCUAGGGGUCUAGACAUUUGUAGGGUUUUCUAGGUUAAGGGGUAUGAGCCUAGGAAUUAUGAGCUUGAAAAUUAUGUGCCUUUAAGACUAGCUAUGCUUAAAAUUAGCUUAA
rnacentral:lncRNA from 1 species